CGGGCCAGUGUCCAGGGCCCGUCCCCGCGCUCCCAUGCGUCGCUGGUAACGGCGGGGUGUGAAGCGGAGCGUUCAAGCCCAAGGGUGU
rfam:Streptomyces sp. RV15 genomic scaffold PRJNA299236_s096, whole genome shotgun sequence.